ensembl:lncRNA
CCUACGAAACCGCUAUUAAGCCUCUUUGUUUAAUUCCAACUGCACUUAAACAAAUCAUUAUCUAUGAAUAAGAGUAGUUCACUCUUAAAAGCUACAGUUUACGAGCUAUAGGAGCGCAGGAAAUUAAGUAAACUAGCACAUUCGGUUAAUACCCAAUGGGCCAUGCAAAGCAUUCUGAGCCCCCCAACUUGGUGCUUUUGAAAUAGGCAACUAAUCACUUGUGCAUGGGCCCAGCACAUGAAAAUUUAUCUUUUUAUCUGCUUUGUUUACAGCUGCCAGAUUCGGCGACCCUUUGAAAUGUGCAGCGGUGUUCCAGAGCUUCAGUCAUCUCCAAAGUUCUCAAUUAAAACCCACUGCUCACAAGCUGAGAGGAAUGAAGAGGAAUGCUCAAUGUGGAACAUCUGCAAACAUCACAUCAGAGAGGCUCAAAACCCCCACCUCAAAAUGGCACCCCAGGGAGGCAGCAGGCAUGGUUCGCUGCUGCUUAAAGACUUGGCCAUGGAGCCAGAGACACAUCUGGUCUGUUUGAGCCGUGCAGAUGCUGCUUGGAACCAUCUCCAUCUCAACGAACCAUCUGAAAGAAUAUGGCACAUGUAAUAAUGAUCUCUUUUUCUUCAAAUGGUCUCAUCGUUAGAGCAUUUGGACCGAGAUGAGGCAGUGUCAACAGGAAUAUAAUCUGGAACGAAUUGAGCAAAUUGUGACUCUGACUGGCAAAUCUCAAGUUCCCAGUGUUUUUUCAUGUAAACUGGCUGAAAUACUGUGAAAGUUCUCAGCAUAUACAUGGCAAAAAUCCAAUAUGUCUUCAAAGACAAAUUAUAGGCCAACUAUCAGCCAUUGUUUUUCCUGAUCUAAAGCCCAUCUUAAAACAAUGAAUCCCCAUCCAACCAUCCAUCCAUCCAUCCUUCCAUCUAUCUAUCUAUGUGUCUGUCUGUCUGGCUGGCUGGCUUAUUAAAUUACAGUCAUGAGAAGUUCCUUGAAUUUUAGUUCAUUUUAAUUUUUUGCAAACUCAGUUUAAAUUCAAUUGAAGUUGAGGAACACAAAUGUAAUCUAAAUGUAAUCCAAAAGUAAUCAGAUUACGUUACCAAAAAUGUGUAAUCUAAGAGAUUAUAUUACUGACUACAAAUUUUGUCAUGUAAUCUGUAAUCAGUAACUGAUUACAAUUCAUAAGUAAUCUACCCAGCUCUGUAUAUAUAUAUAUUUUUUUUUUUUUUUUUUUUUCAGCUGUACUAAUAUUUCAUUACACGGCAGUAGAUACUUUAUCAGUGUCUGAUUUCUUUUUCCAGGGCUCUUUAGAGUGUGAAAUGGAUUAAUUUGUCUCCAUCUUUGACGUCUCAGCUCAGGAUAGUGGCUAGUGAAGGGUUUGGGGCCCUGCACAUUCUUUUGGAGCAAUCUGUUCAUUUAAAUUUAACCAAGGAGGAGUAUUGAAGGAUUGAUUUGGCUGAUGGACCUCUUCCUAACAACUUUCAAAAGGUCAUAUUUUGGUUAGACAAAGUCUUACUAGCCAAAACAUAUACUAUGAUCUCUUGGUUGCACAGCUGAGCCUUACUCAUAGAGGUCAUCUGCUAGCCAUCACCGCAUCUUUCAACAAGUACAUGCCAAACCAGAAUUUUGCCAAGAGUGGUGUUUUUAUGUUACAAUAUUUUAUGACCAUGUGACUGUUGUUUUUUUAGGCAACAUGAUGAAGCAUAUGCUCACAUGCACCAAGAAGGUGCAACCUGAUGUUCACGGACCUGUUCUAGUGCUGAUGGAAAAACUGCGCUUUGACGCACACAAGAUCUUGCGGGUGUUGCUUAAGAGGGAGAUACAGUUCCAUGUGGCCCUGGAGAGCCAUGAAGCCGGAUUUGUGCCAUUCCUGGUCCAGUCCAGACAGAAGGGCCUGUCUGGAAUGCAAUGUGUUGGCCAUCUGCAGACGGAUGUUCACAGCCGCUCUCCAAAGACCAAACACUCGCCUGAGAAAGUCCACAUCAGAAACAUGGCAGCUGCCCAAUUUUGUCAUCUCCUUGCCGUUCAUCUGAAAGCGUAAAAUGUGGAAACUCAUUCUUUGGUUGAUUUAUUGAUUUGGUAAUCAGUCCGAACCAAAUGCUCGCUUGAAAACUAGGUCAUGCCGAAAGCCAAUGACUCAACAGCGACAGUUUUGUCUGUGAAUAAGGUUGCUCUAAGAAAUAUAUGCGACUUUUAUCAACAACGAGUUCAUCAGGACAGGCUCGGGUGACGGUACAAGUAUGGAAGAAGAUGAAAGAUUGAGCUUUCUCUCUGAUCCUUUGGUUCGCUCUUAUUGUCUCCUCAGCGUUCUCCUGAGAUGAGAGUUAUGGACUACAGAGAGGGUAAAUUUGGCUGCACUCCAGCCACAUCUGCUGUACUGCUGUUGCACUUCUCUCUCUUGUAUUUUUACACUUACCGCUCUCGUUUUUUGCAGCAUGUGCACCCACUUUUUAAGGUUUUAGCAAGACACUAAUGACACGUUGCCUAUGGAUUAGAAUUGAACCAUGGCGUUCUUUCAUUUCCUGAUUCAGUUAGGUAGAUGGCAGGAUAAAAACGGUUCACCUAAUAAGUUUGAGAAUUCCUUAUGGAUGUAGUUUUAUUUAUUUUUUUCACUUAUAUUUCUGUCUUUGAAGUUGUAGGCCAAUACUAUUUUACUUUUCACUUUUUUUUUUAAGACUAACAUAUCACAUUUUUAUACAUUUCAGAACAGCAACCACAACCACACCACACUUUUCCUGUCUUCUCUCUAAUGUCAAUAUCAAUCCCAAUUAUGCCAAGAUUUUACCCAGAGAUGUUGUAAUUUAAAAUAAAUUGGCCAUGUCCCAUAAGACGUUCA